UACGUAGGUGGCAAGCGUUGUCCGGAUUUACUGGGCGUAAAGAGCGCGCAGGCGGUCGUUCAAGUCGAGUGUGAAAGCCCCCGGCUCAACUGGGGAGGGUCACUCGAUACUGAUCGACUCGAAGGCAGAAGAGGGAAGCGGAAUUCCCGGUGUAGUGGUGAAAUGCGUAGAUAUCGGGAGGAACACCAGUGGCGAAGGCG
rnacentral:rRNA from 1 species